rnacentral:rRNA from 1 species
AUUGAACGCUGGCGGCAUGCUUUACACAUGCAAGUCGAACGGUAACAGGCCGCAAGGUGCUGACGAGUGGCGCACGGGUGGGUAAUGCAUCGGAACGUGCCCAGUCGUGGGGGAUAACUACUCGAAAGAGUAGCUAAUACCGCAUACGAUCUAUGGAUGAAAGCGGGGGACCGUAAGGCCUCGCGCGAUUGGAGCGGCCGAUGUCAGAUUAGGUAGUUGGUGGGGUAAAGGCUCACCAAGCCAACGAUCUGGAGCUGGUCUGAGAGGACAACGGGCCACACUGGGACUUAGACACGGCCCAGACUCCUACGGGAGGCAGCAGUGGGGAAUGUUGGACAAUGGGCGCAAGCCUGAUCCAGCAAUGCCGCGUGCAGGAAGAAGGCCUUCGGGUUGUAAACUGCUUUUGUACGGAACGAAACGGCUCUGGUUAAUACCCGGGGCUAAUGACGGUACCGGAAGAAUAAGCACCGGCUAACUACGUG